AAAAAAAAGCAAAACACGGUAGCCUUACUCUUUAUUCUCCAACAUUGCAAAUACCAUUUCUCACCAAAACCAGGCUAUGAAUUAACGCUCAAAACGUCCCCCAAAAGUCAGCCCUUAAGCUCCUCAAAAUUCCACCUGAAACUAACGUGAAAAUAGGCCAAGACGCGGCUAAAAAUCAGUUGGGAACUCAGCUGAAAUCUGACAUUGAAAUGCACCAAAAUCAGCCGCGAAACAGCUCGAAACCAACUGUUUUCAUCCAUAAAUCUAGCAAGGUCCGACUCUAACGGCUUGAUUUUGGUCGAGUUAGAAGAGGUCGAUGUUUGAGGUUUGGUUGAGUGCUCGAUGCUCCGGCCUUCGUUGAUUUCCAUUUCCAAAACCGAAAUUGCCGGCUUUUCUGUAUGUAGCAAAAGGUUAGAAUUUAUCAAUAAAGCUCUUUUUUCUUCUAUUAAUUCAUUCUUGCUUGAGUAGUUAAUAUUGUGCUCUUCGAUAAUUUUGCAGAUUUGUUUGGUUUGCUCUGUUUUCUUUGGUUUUACUUACUGAUUUUCAGUUUUCCUUUACUAGCUUACAACUGCAAUUUAAUGGUAGUAGUUAUGCUUUAGAUUCCAUUUGUGUGUUUGCUAUUAUCUGUUAAUUAGGUUAGUUGGACAAGGUUUCAUUGUAAUUUAAUGCGGUUUAAAAUUCAGGUAGGUUGGUUCGAUGUUCGAUGAGUGGGUCAACGUGUAUAGUCUUGUAAAAUGGAAGUGUGUCGUUGGUUUAAUUUAAAGUUAGGUCAUUUGGGUUACUGGGACAAGACUAAAAUCAGAUUUUACCUUAAUUUUAUUUGCUUGGUUUUGAAAGUAUAUGGGACAAAACUUUGUCGAACCCAUUUCCCUAACAAAUCAUAAUUUGGUGUAUCUACUUGCAUACCAAAUCAAAUUAACAAAUAUUAGUAAGUUAUAAGCAUGAUAGUAGUAAAAUCAACCAUGUAAAUAAUUUUACUGAUCAAUUCUAUCACAUGAUCCACAAAUGAACCCAUAACUCAUGGCCCUCAUAAAUUAAAUUAAGAGCUAACACUUGUAAUUGCUAUAGUUAAAUAUAUUUCCUUUAAAAAGAAAAUGGGUUGAAGUGUGUCAUCCAUAAAUUAGAUCAUCCAUAGCCCUCACAAAUAUUGUAACUGAGAUACUAAAAUGAAUCUUCGUAGUUGCUUUAGGCGCGCUACAUUAAAUUAUCAUGACUACGAGUACGGCUCCCGUGACGUAGUUGUGAUUGCUAAAAUCCGGGUGUACAUUUUAUGUGACCCGACUUCAAUUUCCAACAAUGUUAAAUAAAACGUGUCGCGAACGGCGGGUGCAUUUCAUGUAGCGUGGUUUAAGAUGUAUUUUAAAUAACAUUGAAUUUUUCUGAAAAACAGUAAAAGUGGGUAAAAAGUCGUAAAAGUGCAUAUAGGUUUAAAAUGCAUAAUUAAUCAGAUAAUAGGCCAAUAUUAACAGUUUAAGCGACCGUGCUAGAACCACGGAACCCGAGAAUGCCUAACACCUUCUCCCGGGUUAACAGAAUUCCUUAUCUAGAAUUUCUGGUUCGUGGACUUUAAAAAAUAAAAAUUUCCUCUAUUUGAGAUUUUAAAAUAAACCGGUGACUUAAAACACCAAAUAAACUAUUCCAAGUGGCGACUCUGAUAAAUUAAAUAAUCUCAUUUCGAUUUAUGUCACUUUAAUUGGAAAAACUCUCAUAUACUCUCUCGAUGUAUAAAAAGAAGGUGUGGCGGUGGAUAUCAUAGAGGACUAUAAAGUAUGUUUUGGUGGAAUGAAUUUGUCAUGUAUAAUACUCCAUCAGUAUAUGAUAUACCAGAUUGGUAUCAUAGUGGUCUAAGUAUUUUCCUCGAAGGAAUGAACUAGACCUUAAUGAUACCUUGUCAAUAUAUGAUAUAUACUAUAUGGGAAUUACAGAGGUCUGUGUGUCUUUUUGAAAGUAAUGCACCAAACAUCUAUGAUACUCUAUUAGUAUAUGAUAUAUAUCAUGUGGGUAUCAAAGAGGACAUGAGUAUUAUUUUUUCUGAAGAAAUGAACCAGUCCUCUAUUAUACCCUCUUAGUAUAUGAUAUAAAUCAUGUGGGUAUGAUAGUAUACUGCAAUGAUAUACUUCAACUACUAUAAAUAUAUUAUUUUUGGUACACUAUAUGAUAGAAUAAGUUAUUCUCUGCUAACUAAUAUUUAAAAAAAGAUAUAUGAUAGCAAUUAUCAAUUUUAUUGAUAUAGUAAAAAGGAAAGAGAGAGAAAAAAAUAAAAAAGAACAAAAACAAAGGAGCAAAAAGGUGUGAGAAAUUAGAUUAUGAAAAAAAUAUAAAAUAAAAAAAUGAUUUCGAAUAAUAAUAAAUGAAAUUAGAAAAGCAAAGAAAUAAAAGCAAAAAAGAGAAGAUAAAACAAUUAUAAUAUAUAAGUCGUUCUAAUAAUUGAAUUGAAAAACAAAUGAGAAAAAAAAACAAAAUAUAUAUUAUACCAAUUAUAUUAAAAAAAGAUGAACAAACAUUUACUAUAUUAGUUAUCUCUUCUUAUUACAUAACAAAGAAUAAUAAUAAAAUAGAGUAAAAAAAAAGUAGAUAAAAUUGGAUUUUGAAAAAGAAAAUAAAAGGAAAAAGGAGUUAAAUAAAAUUAAAAAAGGAACAAGAAAUAAAAAAAGGAAAAAAAGGAACCAUUUAGUGUGAAAUUAAUAAUAAUAAUAAUGGGUAAUUACUUCUCUCUAACUUUCUCUCUCUAAAAUCAUCGAGGAUUGCCGCACAUCAAUGGUAAGCUAGCAUGCGCCUCUGCCAGCAUGGGUAGAGGGAGACCAAAGAGAGUGAUUCAGAUCACAAAUUCAAGCAAGGAACCGACAAGUUUGACAAAAGUUGAUGGAAAGGAACAAUUGAGGGGAAUUGAGGACAUGCAAAACUUGCAGAGCUCAAUGGAACAGUUGCAGAGCUCAAACGUGAUAUGGCCGCCUUUGCAUGGAGCGAUUUCAGCUAGAUCACCUUCAAUUGACGAAGGCGAACAUAGACAAACUCUAAAGACAUCGGUGAAGAGUCCAAAUGCAGAGAGAAUUGAGGUUGAAAAGGAGAUUCAUAGGAAAUAGACAAAGCAUAGGGAAGUAAUGAAGCCAAUUACGGAGCAGGAAGUUCAGAUUCAUAAACACUUGGAUGAGGAGUAGCAGAAAAAUAAAAAGGAAUGGGUGAACUUAUUCGCUGGGAGCAAUUUAGCGGCUAGAGGUAUGAACCUCAAAUUUAUUUCUCCUAUGCUAAAAAAUAGAGAAAAAAUAGUUGAACUAGAUAAUGCUGAGAUUGAUCGUGAAACAGUGAAAUGGAACAUGCAAUUAUGUUGUAUGUUGUUGGAGAUUCCCCUUCAAUAGGUGUUUUGGAUCGUUUCAUUACUGCACAAUAAAAUUUUGUCAGUAAACCAAAAAUUAACUUCCAUAAUGAUGCAUAUUUUGUGGUGAAACUCAAUAGUGUGGAAGAUAGGGAUGUUGUGUUGAUGUCAUGGCCACAUACUAUAAGAAAUAAACCUAUAAUUGUCAAAGCAUGAUCGCCUUAUUUUGAUUUUGAUAAGGAAGUACUGCAGACAAUUCCUAUAUGGGUUAAGCUGCCUAAUUUGCCAUUAAACUGCUGGAGUAUGAAUUCACUCAGUAGGAUUGGGAGUGGCUUAGGAGUCCCACUAUAUGCAGAUGAAUGUACAUCUAAAAUUGAGAUGAUUUCUUAUGCAAGGCUACUAGUAGAAAUGGAUGUUACAAAGGAUAUGCCUAGAGUCAUAAAAGUUAUGGAUCCGAUGGGCAAAGUCUUUGAGCAACAUGUUGCUUAUGAUUGGAUACCUGAAUAUUGCCACACUUGUCUUCAAGUUGGCCAUAGUUGCAGGACAACACAGACAGUACCUGAGGGCAAACAGAAGCAGUUAAAACCAAGGAUGGAAUGGAGAAGAAGAACAGAACCAAACAAGGUAGAAAAAGGUGAAAAUGAACAAACUAAGAGUAUGAUAUAGACUACAAGGGCAGUUGAUGAGGCUGAGAAAAUAAUUUAAUGAGAUCUAGCUAAGAGGAAAUUUGUAGCAAAAAGUAGACAGUCUAACAUAAUAGGAGAUCCUCGCAUUAAUGUUGUGAAUGAUUUUAGACCACUUAGCUAUGAGAUAGCUGAUAUAACAGUAGAGAAAGGCCAAUGUAGCUACCAAAGUGAUACUGGGGACCCAAAACCAAAGCAACCAAAUAAAUGAGAAUUAUAUCUUGGAAUGUGAGGGGUGUAAAUAAAGUUUAUAAGCAAAAAGAAGUAAAGAAGUUCAUUAUAAAUAAUAAUGUAGGACUAAUAGCUAUACUAGAGAAUAGAGUAAAGGAAGAGAAUGCUAGUAGAGUGAUAAAUAAGAUUGCAGCAAAUUAGAGAUGGUGUGCAAACUAUCACAUAGCUCUAACGGGAGAAUAUGGAUUAUUUGGGAUCCAAACAGAGUGGAAUUUGAAGUAACAAGCAUGAGUGCUCAGGCCAUUCAUGGUAUAAUUAGUAUCUCUCAGUUGCAACUAAAACUUAAUUUGACAACAGUUUAUGGAAUACAUACUAUUGAGACAAGGAAGGACCUAUGAGAGGAAUUGAAAAGUGCCAAUAAUUCUGUUCAAAGACCAUCUAUUGGAGAUUUUAAUGCUAUAACUGACAUAGAUGACAGAUAGUUUGGUAAUCCAGUUCAGGAGAAUGAGAUCAAGGACUUCAAUGAUUUUUUGCAAGUUAGUGGCAUGACUGAACUACCUGCAAUGGGUAGAAGAUUCACAUGGUCAAAUGGGCAAAUUUGUAGCAGGAUAGAUAGAGCUCUAGUAAAUGCUAAAUGGUUACUUACAGUAGCUGUUACAAAGGUGGUGAUUUUAAACCCUGGGAUUUCAGAUCAUACCCCCUAAGUAUUCAAUUCAAGGAAACUGUGAAAAGGAGUCCAAAGCCUUUCAGAUUCCUUAACUGUCUAGCGGAGCACAAAAACUUUCUAAAUAUGGUGGAAAAUGUUUGGUGUAGGCCAACUGAAAAGAAUCACAUGGCAAACAUAUGGUAGAAACUAAAAGUAUUGAAGAAAUAUUUGAAACAACUGAACCAAAAAGAAUUCAGAAAUGUAGGGGAGAAGAUUGAGUUCUAUCGACAGAAGUUGUAAGAUAUUCAAACAAAAAUGGGAAGCCACACUCAAUCAAAUGUGUUGUUUGCAUAAUAAAAGGAAGUGAAGCUUGAAUUAGAGAAAUGGAACCCAGUGGAGGAAAGUAUUCUUAAACAAAAAUCAAGAAACAAAUAGUUGGAACUAGGAGAUGAUAAUACUGCCUAUUUUUUUGCUAGUUUGAAGAAUAGACAUGCUCAAAACAGGAUCAAAAGCCUUAUUAAUACCAAUGGUGAUAUCCUUCAACAGCUAGAAGACAUAGUAGAGAAGGUGACUAGUUUUUAUAAAAAGCUCCUAGGCAGUGCUGUUGAUCAACUACCAGCAGUAAAUCCUGAGAUCAUGAAGCGUGGAAAUGUACUUACUAGAUAGCACCUAUUACAAUUGAUAGCACAGGUAACUCAUGAUGAAGUAUAUCAAGCCCUUAUGAGUAUAGAUGACCACAAAGCUCCUAGUUGUGAUGGGUUUAAUGCACCCUUCUUAAAAAAAGCUUGGACUGUGAUUGGUAGAGAUGUUACAGUUGUUGUGCUUCAGUUCUUCACAGAUGGGGAUAUAUACAAAGCUAUAAUCUGCACAACAAUAACACUGAUUCCAAAAAUCAAGAACCCAACAAAGAUAUUUGAAUUUAGACUUAUAGCUUGUUGUACUAUGUUGUAUAAACUGAUCUCCAAAAUCCUUACUAAUCAUAUGCAGGGCGUUAUGGACAGUCUUGUGGAUAAAAGCCAAUCUGCUUUUGUCCAGGAAGGUUAAUCAUUGAUAAUAUUAUAUUGAGCCAUGAACUGAUGAAGGGGUAUGGAAGCAAGGGUAUCACUCCUAGAUGUAUGUUAAAAAUAGACAUGAGGAAAACCUAC
rnacentral:lncRNA from 1 species